AGAAGUCAACAAAUUUCAGUUUAGUAACCAGGGAUAUCAGUUUCUUAGCUGUAGUAACGGGGAUUAAAUUGUGUUUAAAAAGUGCCUCAUAACUCAGAUAAUUCCUAAAAUAUCAAAUGAUUCCCCCAAAACCAUUUCCUCAGAGCAGCAGGAGUGCGGCGCCAGGAAUUGCAGUACUCUUAGCUUAGCAGUUCUGUGGCGGAGCUGUCACAGCUCAGCUAGUGUGCUCAGGCCUGUGGUCACCGUUUGAUAGGAUCAGGCUUGUUUUGUUAGUGUUCCUAAACUGUGCAACUAUUUGCAUAGCAUUUCCGAUGUGUUGGGUAUAGAGUUAAUCUAGACUCCAUUUGAAGUCCACAGGAGGAUGUGUGCAGGUUAAACUUGAGCAGCAAAUGCAGCUCCAUGUUGCCUAAGGGAUUGAACCCCUGUGUGCUUUGGUAUCUGAGAAGUUGUAGAAGCAGUCCCCACAGAGGCUGCAGAACUGCUGUGGUCCUGUCUGUGGGAGAUUAUUAGAGCUGAAGAUUUGAUCAAGAUAAUUACCUUAAGAGUUUAGACCCCUCUCUGCUUCCCGAGAGGCACAAGUAAAACUUAACACUAAGUGGUCCAGCUGGAAUGCCAGUGUCUGGAAAUGGAGAGCCAUUGGUAGGGAUGCGUGUAUUGCUGGCAAGGUGCACAGGUCCACUGAUGGUUUGGUAGUUUCUUUAAAAGUAGAACAGCCCAUGUGGACAGCAGUCAAUGAAAGAACAAAUUAUUUAGUAGAUACUGUCUAAACAUCUGCAAGGAAAAACCAAUGCCACAUCUGGGAUGAUCUCUACAGUAUUGUGCUGAGUGAAAGAAGCCAGAAGCAAGCCUAUAUGCAGAUUCCAGUCUAGAAAAUGAAACAAAGCUUACAAAACACAGGGAUUCCUUGGGGACUACAUCUGGAGGGGACAUGGGAUUGACUGUAAAGAGGCACAUGGGAAUAUUCUUUGUCUUAAUUGUGGUUGUGGUAACAACUGUAUAUAGUUGGCCGACCUCAAAAUUGUCCUGUUGAAAUGAGUAUUAUACAUAAAUUUUAUAAAUAAAGUUGAUUUUCUUUAACUUUUUUUCAGUGUUGGGAUCUAACCCAGGGUCUCAAACAGCUCCAGGCAAGUUUGUACUGCUGAGCCAUACUCCCUGGCCCAAGUCUGAUUAAGGAAUAACACACACACACACACACACACACACACACACACACACCCAUUACCACAUUGUUGAGAUGUAGAAAUUAAAGUUAUGGUCACAAUGAGGUAAUGGAGUACACUUAAGAUUGAAAGGCAGCUGUGACCAAUUGGAAUGGACAAAGCCAUUGCAGUAACUUGUGUGAGCACAAGAUGUUGGUCACAAUUGAACCCUUGCAGUUAUUUAUAAAGAGCACGUGUACCCGUGACACAAAACAUUGAGAGAAACCAUAUAUAGGAGGACAUACCGUCUGGUUAGCUGUCAUCUGGUGGGGAACUCAGCUAUAGCUGCUGAAGUCAGCGGUGGUUGGCAAGGAGGAACCUUAUGGGGUGAAAGCAACCUUGGCUGUUGGUGUUGUGGUUAACAUGAUUGUUAAAACUGUGCAUGUAAGACCUGUGCAUUUAUAGACAGUGUUUUAUAGUGAAAUUGACGUGUUAAAUUAGCAUUUUAGGUGAACAUUUCAGUAGUACUCAUUUAUAUUGUACAACUUUCACUUCCCCCUGGUUCUAGAGUAUUUUUCUAAACUUGAAAGCAAACUGCUCACUAAGCAGAAGGCCCCCCCUCCCCUUUCCCUCCCAUUUCCCUGCUCUCUAAUCACCGAUCUUUCAGUUUCUGUAGGUUCACCCAUUCUGGAUAUUAGACACAAACAGGAUUGUGAUCUUUUGUGUCUGGCUUAUCUGACUUAGCAUGAUUUCAAUAUUUACUUUGUAAAACAAGUCCACACUUCUUUUUACUACCAGUACAUGUUAAUGGUAGAAAAGGAUUGGCUUUGCCAUGACAUUUUCAUCAUACAUAUUUAUCUCCCAUUUCCUUUCCUCUUCACUGACAGUCACUACAUAUGUGUGUGUGCUUUGAAUAAAGGCUACAUUAGUGUGUGAGGGAAAGCUUUUUAAGAAUACAUUCAUUUUUAAUUUGUGUGUGCAACUGUCCUCGGAGGCCAGAGAGGUCAGAUCCCUUUGGAGCUAGAGUUACAGGCAGUCCUGAGCCCCCUGCUACAGGUGCUGGGAACCAUGUUCUCUUCAGCAGCAAUCCAUGCUCUUAACCACUAGGCCAUCUCUCCAACCCUUGAAACUUUUGGUUUGGUUUGGUUUUAUAGCCCAGGCUGGCCUUGAACUUCCAACAGUCCUCUACUUAAGCCUUCUGAGUGCUGGAAUGACAGGUGUGUGCUACCACACCCAGCUUUGGUGUUUGUCUUUCUGAGCUUGCCUUAUUUUGCUUCACAUCAUGGCUUCCCAUUCACCCAUUUUCCUGCAGAUGACAGACACAGUUGCCUUCUUUAUAAAUGAAUAAAUAUCAUUGUGUACAUGUGCUGCGUUAUCUAUCAGCUGAUGGAGCAGUGUUUGGCUGUGGUGCCUGUCUGUGCUGUCAUUCACAGAGAUGUAAGGGUCUCUGAUGUGUGUUUAGAGUCCUCCAGGAGCAGACUGGGGCUGUAUGGUAGUUCUAGUUUUCAGUAUCUGAGGAAACUCCUUCUUUUCCACAGUGGCUACAUCCCACCAUCAGUGUGUGAGUGUUCUUUUCCCCGACAUUUUCAAUAGCAUUUGUUUGUUUUGUUACUGAUAACCAGUCUGACUGGGAGAAAUGCAGUCUUAACAUAGUUUUGGUUGUAUUUCUCUGAUGGUUAAGGAUACUGGACAGUCUUAAAGAUGUAUUUAUUGGCCAUCAAUAUUUUUUUAAUUAAGUAAUGCAACUGUUUGUAUUUAGGGUGGGGUCUGUUCAUUCUUAUUGCCCAUUUAUUAGUUCGCUCAUUUGGGGAUGUUGGUGUUUAAUUAAAAAACAAAAUCUU
rnacentral:lncRNA from 1 species